CCUCAUUCUUCCCUUUCCAUGACGCACAUUUUUCUCCCAGUGACCUUCAUAGGUAUUUCCAGACUUAUAGCAUCUUAUUCCCCAUCCUUCUUUGACGUUAUCUACCCAGUCACCUGAGUACCAAGACAUAUGUUCCUGGUCAUAAUAAAUGGUGCCCUUUCCAUGUCUUUUGCCUUUAUACCAGUAACCAAUGUAAGAAACUGGAUGGAUACCACUCCGGAAAAAGCCAAAUCCAUGCCUAAGUCCAUUUUUGACUGAGCCUUCAUAAAUACUGCCAUCAUUCCACAUAUAGUAUCCAUGAAACAUCUGCACAUUCUUAACAAACGUUCCCUCAUACUUC
rnacentral:lncRNA from 1 species